rnacentral:rRNA from 1 species
AUGUCUACCAAUCUUCUUUAUGUGCUGCUUGGAUAUUCCAGAGACCAUCAAAAAACAAUUUGCAAAUCCUUAGGCAUUGUCUCUGGAGAGGAUCAGUCAUGGAAGAUCAUGGACCACCAAUGGUUGCAUGGAGUGUGGUUUUGCAGACCAAAAAAUCAAGGAGGCUUGGGUAUUUGUAAUUUAGAUGUGCAAAACAAUGCUCUUCUUCUAAACAACUUGCACAAAUUCUUCAAUAGGCACAACAUCCCAUGGGUUAACCUGAUUUGGGAAAUAUACUACAACAAUGGCAUGCUACCAGGUCAGAAUAUGGUUGGUUCAUUUUGGUGGAAAGAAAAUUCGUAA